ACUCUGUCCUUGCGAUUAAGGACAAGAUGUUCUAUUUGUAUGUUUGUAUGUUUUUUCAAUUGUAUUUUAAGGAUCUUCUCUGUGCACGGGAAAAUACUGGCAGACAGAACAACUGUUCAGUUUCUAUAAAGAUAAAUUCAUCUGUCUUGAAAAAUGCUAAAGAUUAUUUUCAUGCAGAAGAUAAAUCACUGGAAGAGACAGUAAAGAAUUCAAAAGGUGCCCAGACCUGACUCACACUGAGAAGUCACUGGAUGUGAGCUGUCCCCAGGGAGCAACCAGGCUUGGACAGGCUGAUUCCUGCAGGUGAGAGCAAUUCCUGGUGAGGAACAGCGCUGUGAUCUGUCACCAACCCAUAUGUCCGGCAGCUGGAGUGAGUGUCCCCAUCCUGAAGUGGGAUCUACGUGCUGUGUCACAGAAUCCACCAUGGGAGUUUAUGGGCUUUUGCUGCUGUUAGGUUUUAUUUAUUUUUUUGCCUAACCCUGAAUGUCAUUCACUCAAAGUGGAUCAUAGUUCUAAAUGCAAAAACUGAAACUAUAAAACUUUCGGAUGUUCCAUGUUACCCAAGUCACAAGAACUAUCACAUUUAAAUUUUUUGAAAUGAAAUCCAGUGUGACUUUGCUUCUACUCUAGAAAAGCAGAAAAUGCUAUCUAUAUAUCUAUCUAUCCAUCUAUCCAUCCAUUUAUCCAUCCAUCCAUCUAUCCAUCUACCUACUUUCCUGGUUCCUUUUCAUACCUUUGGGUUGUAUACAGACCACAAAACAAUGGGGAAGAGCCUCUGGUCUUCAGUGCCCUGUGGCUGCCACUCCUGGUCAUCCUUGCCCAUGGGCCUGUGUAAUCCAUUCACAGAUACAGAGCCUCAUGCCUCUGGAUCAAGUGUGACCCCAGACACUCUGUAGAGAAUCCUAACGUCUAGCUUCUGAGCACGCACACUCCUUGGGGCCCUGUGUAGAGUUGGGCCAUUGAUGGAACCUAUAAUUGACGUGAAUCCCCUCUCCAACAUCCCCCUUCUUGCCCCCCAACUGCCAGCCCCUCUUUCACCUUUGCAACUGUUCCCCAAGUAUGGAUGGCGGACCAGAAGCAUCAUCUGAGAACUGCUUUACAGUUUAAAAUUUGUCAGGCAGCUCCCAUGUGUAGUCAGGGCUGAGAAUCACUGUUGUAGAUUUCAGAACAAGGAUGAUGACAGAGAUGCCUAAGAAUAUACACACCAUGAAUACAUUUUAAAAUAUUUAAAUGAUUCAAGUCUAGGACAAGGAAGUGUUAAGUGUAUUGAGAAGUUACCAGUCCAGUCUCUUCAUUAGCUAAGAAAACCUUCUUGGGAAAAGUGGGGUGUAAGGAUACAAAUUGCAGAAUAUUCUGGUUCUUCUUCUUGCAGACGAGGGGUUUCCUGGAGGAUGGCUUCCAUCUUGGAUGGUAAGUGACUUUGGGAAUGUAGGUCAAGCAUGACUGAGCAACGGGAUGGAAAGAGCCUGAAUCCUUGACACCAUCAUGGGUGGACUGGUCCUAGAUCACGUACAUCCAGACCUUUUUACACACUAAGAAAUGAUCUUUAAUCUUGUGUAAGCCUGUUACCUCAUGGUUUUUCUGUCACUUGCAACCAAACCUUAUCUUGACUAAUGUCAGCAGCAAUACCUAGCAUAUGACCAGACAAGAGCAUCUUCUCCUAAAAAUAGACUAAUUAAAUACCUACAUUCUAUACAGCCUCAAAACUUACUUUGAAGUAUAAUUUAAAGGUGACUGAGACCACCAUGUGUGGUAUAGAAUGAAACAUGAAUGUGAUAAUUAAGAAAGUAAUUAGCUUGUCUUCUCCCAUGUGGUUACAUGAGAAUAGAGGCCAAGGGAAAGAAAGAAACUUCUGUGACUCUGCUGGGGAAGCACGGGUGCUCUGGGAAUGCUGUCAAUACAACAGUCACCUAUGCUGGGCCAUACUGGACAUCCAGUCUUUUAUUUCUUUCUUUAUUUUUGGCUGCACUCAGCUUGUGGAAGUUCCCAGGCCAGGGGUCAAACCUGUGUCACGGCAGUGAGCCGGGCAGCUGCAGUGGGGUCCUUAACCCACUGUGCCACAAGGGAACCCCAUCUUCUCUUUUGCUCUCCAGGUUUUCCUAAGUAUUUUUCUCUUUUCUUUAAACACCGAAAAGCGGUAUCUUAUUGGGAAAUCUCAAAUGCACAAAAUGUUAAUUCUCUAGAAGACAGAUAUACAAACUGAAAGAAAAAAAUCUAUUGGUCAGGCAAAAAGUAACUUGAAAAUCAUUAAUUCACUUAAAGCAUUUCUGGACAUAAAGCUGUUUAUUUUGCAGGUUUUAUGAUCCUUCUUAAGCUAGAGACUUAACUGCUCAAGCCCUUCACUUUCAAGAUCCAUCAUAAGCUCAAGUGCCUUCAGGGGCCAAGUGGGUGGGUUAAAUAGCCCCCAGAUGGGAUUAUGGGAAAAUGGGAAUAUCUGUCUCUGAACUGGGCAGCUUCACACCAAUAAUGAACAGAGGUAACUAGGGGGGCCCACCAUCAGCAGAGCCUCUGGUUUUUGUUUUUUUUUUUUGGAAGGAAAUAUAUGCUUUUUAAAUGUUAUCUUCUGAUAGUCAGUUAAAAUUUUUCAAAACAAAACAUAGACCAAAGCAAACACCUCAGUGAGCUGAGUACCAUCUGAAGUUUAAAGUCUAGAUGCAACUGGAUCUGCGUUUGCAAAAUCAGAUUUUAAAAUUUAACUUUAGGGCGUUCCCAUUGUGGCACAGUGAGUUAAGAAUCCAAAUGCAAAGGAAAUAUUUAAACAACAACAACAAAAACAACAAAGAAUCCAACUGUAGCAGCUCAGGUCACUGCAGAGACAUGAGUUAGAUCCCUAAGCCCAGUGCAGUGGGUUAAAGGAUUUGGUGUUGCUGCAGCUGUGGCUUGGAUUCAGUCCCUGGCCUGGGAACUUCCAUAAGCUGUGGGCAUGGCCAUAAAAAUAAUAAAAUUAAACUAAAAAGUAAAAAAGUAAAUAAAAAAUAAAAUUUGACUUUAAUUUGGCCUUAUUAUCUUGCUUUAAUUGAUUACAAAUUGUCUGAACCCAAUAUAAAGGGCAAAUAAUAGAUGACAAGCUGUUGGGGAGAGACACGCUGAAGUAAUUGCCAGAGGGAACCAUCACAUACCUUUUGAGCCAGAUAGAACUUAACUGGAAUAAAACUCGGAGACAUUGUGACUUUGUUUUUCCAGAACAGGGGCUUUGAGGAUAAUCAAGGGUUUUAGUGAUGACAGAGAGGACCUCUGCCUCCGGAAUUACAUCUACCUGUCACCUAUCAGGGAGAUGACAGUCCCUCUUCAACUAACUGAAUUCAAGAAAUUUGCCCAACACUUUUAUGUGUCGGGAACUGUGUUAGGUGCUAAGGACACAAAGUUGAGUGAAUCAGUCUUGGUAUUCAAAGAAUUCAUACUUAGUGGGGAA
rnacentral:lncRNA from 1 species